UACGAAAGGUGCAAGCGUUACUCGGAAUAACUGGGCGUAAAGCGCGCGUAGGCGGUCUUGUAUGUCAAUUGUGAAAGCCCUGGGCUCAACCUAGGAACCGCAGUUGAAACUGCAAGACUUGAAUACUGGAGAGGGUGGGGGAAUACCUAGUGGAGAAGUGAAAUUCGUAGAGAUUAGGUGGAACACCAGAGGCGAAGGCGCCUGCCUGGCCAAGUAUUGACGCUAAGGCGCGAAAGUGCGGGGAGCAAACAGG
rnacentral:rRNA from 1 species